GCUUUCGUUGUCUAGUUGGAUUGAACGUCCGAUUCGCAAUCGGGUGGUCCGGGGUUCGAAUCCCGACGAGGGCA
rnacentral:tRNA from 1 species